rnacentral:rRNA from 1 species
AUUAAACUGGCGAACGGGUGAGUAACGCGUAGGCAACCUGCCCUAGAGAUUGGGAUAACUCCGGGAAACCGGUGCUAAUACCGAAUAAUGCAGCGGAUCCUUCGGGAUACAGUUGUUAAAGCGGGCUUCGGCUCGCACUUUAGGAUGGGCCUGCGUCCGAUUAGCUUGUUGGUAGGGUAACGGCUUACCAAGGCGAUGAUCGGUAGCUGGUCUGAGAGGAUGAUCAGCCACACUGGGAUUGAGAUACGGCCCAGACUCCUACGGGAGGCAGCAGUGGGGAAUUUUGCGCAAUGGGGGAAACCCUGACGCAGCAACGCCGCGUGACCGAUGAAGCUUUUAGGAGCGUAAAGGUCUGUCGUAAGGGAAGAAAAGUUUGGAUGUAAAUAAUGUUCGAACCUGACGGUACCUUACAAGAAAGCACCGGCUAACUUAGUGCCAGCAGCCGCGGUAAUACUAGGGGUGCGAGCGUUGUCCGGAAUCAUUGGGCGUAAAGGGUCCGUAGGCGUCCCAAAAAGUCAUUUGUUAAAUACACCGGCUUAACCGGUGGCCUGCAUUUGAAACUGUUGGGAUAGAGUAUAGGAGAGGAAAGUGGAAUUCCUGGUGUAGCGGUGACAUGCGUAGAUAUCAGGAGGAACACCAAUGGCGAAGGCAGCUUUCUGGCCUAUUACUGACGCUGAGGGACGAAAGCGUGGGGAGCGAACAGGAUUAGAUACCCUGGUAGUCCACGCCGUAAACGAUGAGUACUUGGUGUCGGGGGAAUCGACCCCCUCGGUANCGGAGCUAACGC